rnacentral:rRNA from 1 species
AAAGGAAUAGACGGGAACCCGCACAAGCAGCGGAGCGUGUGGUUUAAUUCGAUGCUACACGAAGAACCUUACCCAGAUUUGACAUAUAGGUGGUAGUGAACCGAAAGGGGAACGACCCGCAAGGGAGCCUAUACAGGUGUUGCAUGGCUGUCGUCAGCUCGUGUCGUGAGAUGUUGGUUUAAGUACCCUAACGAGCGCAACCCUUACUGCCAGUUACAAGUGUCUGGCGGGACUGCCGGCCACAAGCCGGAGGAAGGCGAGGAUGACGUCAAGUCAGCAUGGCCUUUAUAUCUGGGGCUACACACACGCUACAAUGGGCGAGCACAAUAGGUAGCCAAGCCGCGAGGCGGAGCCAAUCCCUAAAAUCGCCCUCAGUUCAGAUUGCAGGCUGCAACCCGCCUGCAUGAAGUCGGAGUUGCUAGUAAACGCGCGUCAGCUAUAGUGCGUUGAAUACGUUCCCGGGUUUUGUACACACCGCCCGU